rnacentral:rRNA from 1 species
CCCUUAGAUGUUCUGGGCCGCACGCGCGCUACACUGAUGCAUUCAACGAGUCUAAAACCUGCUCUGAUAGGGGUGGGUAAUCUUUUGAAUGUGCAUCGUGAUUGGGAUAGAUGAUUGCAAUUUUUCAUCUUCAACGAGGAAUGCCUAGUAAACGCAAGUCAUCAGCUUGCAUUGAUUACGUCCCUGCCCUUUGUACACACCGCCCGUCGCUCCUACCGAUUGAAUGAUCCGAUGAAUAUCAUGGAUUGAGGAUGCAAGCAGGUUCGCCUGUCUUCAUCUUCGAGAAGUGAAGUAAAUCUUAUCAUUUAGAAGAAGGAGAAGUCGUAACA